rnacentral:rRNA from 1 species
GAUGAACGCUGGCGGCGUGCCUAAUACAUGCAAGUCGAGCGAACAGACGAGGAGCUUGCUCCUCUGACGUUAGCGGCGGACGGGUGAGUAACACGUGGAUAACCUACCUAUAAGACUGGGAUAACUUCGGGAAACCGGAGCUAAUACCGGAUAAUAUAUUGAACCGCAUGGUUCAAUAGUGAAAGACGGUUUUGCUGUCACUUAUAGAUGGAUCCGCGCCGCAUUAGCUAGUUGGUAAGGUAACGGCUUACCAAGGCAACGAUGCGUAGCCGACCUGAGAGGGUGGUCGGCCACACUGGAACUGAGACACGGUCCAGACUCCUACGGGAGGCAGCAGUAGGGAAUCUUCCGCAAUGGGCGGAAGCCUGACGGAGCAACGCCGGGUGAGGGAUGAAGGUCUUCCGAUCGUAAAACCUUUUUAAUAGGGAAGAACAAAUGUGUAAGUUACUAUGCACGUCUUGACGGUACCUUAUCAGAAAGCCACGGCUAACUACGUG